GCUUGUUCAGUUUCACUCCUCCUCCCAGAAACUGAACCCGAAGCGCGGCACUCCUCCUCCCAGUCGCGCUUUUCAGAUCAGCCCGCUGCACACUCCUCCUCCCAGUGCAGCGGGCGUUCU
rnacentral:sRNA from 1 species